UACGAGGGGGGCGAGCGUUGUCCGGAAUUACUGGGCGUAAAGAGCUCGUAGGUGGUUUGUCGCGUUGUUCGUGAAAACUCACAACUCAAUUGUGGGCGUGCGGGCGAUACGGGCAGACUGGAGUACUGCAGGGGAGACUGGAAUUCCUGGUGUAGCGGUGGAAUGCGCAGAUAUCAGGAGGAACACCGGUGGCGAAGGCGGGUCUCUGGGCAGUAACUGACGCUGAGGAGCGAAAGCGUGGGGAGCGAACAGG
rnacentral:rRNA from 1 species